rnacentral:misc_RNA from 1 species
AAGUCGUAACAAGGUUUCCGUCGGUGAACCUGCGGAAGGAUCAUUAACACGGUUUCCCCAAGCGGUUUCCCCAAGCAGUCAGUGUCGGAAAGUGUCAUUGAUUGUGCAAGGAUAGCGCUUCUACGAUUCCUGUAGACCGUACACUCGGGCAGGAGCUUUGCCAAAGGGUCCCCAUGCCCCCUAAUAACCCCACAGUUUAAUGUGAAGCUCAAUGUAAUACAUUGGGUAAAAAAACCGAACAACUGUUAACAAUGGAUAUCUUGGUUCUC